rnacentral:rRNA from 1 species
GACGAACGCUGGCGGCGUGCCUAAUACGUGCAAGUCGAACGAAGCUGUUUUAACUGGUGCUUGCACCGACUUAAACAACUGAGUGGCGAACGGGUGAGUAACACGUGGGUAACCUGCCCCAAAGCGGGGGAUAACAUUUGGAAACAGAUGCUAAUACCGCAUAACCACAGAAACCACAUGGUUUCUGUGUCAAAGAUGGUUUCGGCUAUCACUUUGGGAUGGACGCGCGGCGUAUUAGCUAGUUGGUAAGGUAAUGGCUUACCAAGGCAAUGAUACGUAGCCGAACUGAGAGGUUGAUCGGCCACAUUGGGACUGAGACACGGCCCAAACUCCUACGGGAGGCAGCAGUAGGGAAUCUUCCACAAUGGACGAAAGUCUGAUGGAGCAGCGCCGCGUGAGUGAAGAAAGUUUUCGGAUCGUAAAACUCUGUUGUCAGAGAAGAACGUGUGCGAGAGUAACUGCUCGUGCAGUGACGGUAUCUGGCCAGAAAGCCACGGCUAACUACGUGCCAGCCGCCGCGGUAA